AACCUCCGCAAUGUGAGAAAUCGCGACGGGGGGAUCCCAAGUGCCAUUCUUAACGGGAUGGCUUUUCAUUAGUGUAAAGAGCUUUUGGAAUAAGGGCUGGGCAAGACCGGUGCCAGCCGCCGCGGUAACACCGGCAGCUCUAGUGGUAGCAGUUUUUAUUGGGCCUAAAGCGUCCGUAGCCGGUUUAAUAAGUCUCUGGUGGAAUCCUGUAGCUUAACUGUGGGAAUUGCUGGAGAUACUAUUAGACUUGAGACCGGGAGAGGUUAGAGGUACUCCCAGGGUAGAGGUGAAAUUCUGUAAUCCUGGGAGGACCGCCUGUUGCGAAGGCGUCUAACUGGAACGGUUCUGACGGUGAGGGACGAAAGUUAGGGGCGCGAACCGGAUUAGAUACCCGGGUAGUCCUAACUGUAAACGAUGCGACUUGGUGUUGGGGUGGCUUUGAGCUGCUCCAGUGCCGAAGGGAAGCUGUUAAGUCCGCCGCCUGGGAAGUACGGUCGCAAGACUGAAACUUAAAGGAAUU
rnacentral:rRNA from 1 species